GGUUAAGCGACUAAGCGUACACGGUGGAUGCCCUGGCAGUCAGAGGCGAUGAAGGGCGUGCUAAUCUGCGAUAAGCGCCGGUAAGGUGAUAUGAACCGUUAUAACCGGCGAUACCCGAAUGGGGAAACCCAGUGUGAUUCGUCACACUAUCAUUAACUGAAUCCAUAGGUUAAUGAGGCGAACCGGGGGAACUGAAACAUCUAAGUACCCCGAGGAAAAGAAAUCAACCGAGAUUCCCCCAGUAGCGGCGAGCGAACGGGGAGGAGCCCAGAGCCUGAAUCAGCAUGUGUGUUAGUGGAAGCGUCUGGAAAGGCGCGCGAUACAGGGUGACAGCCCCGUACACAAAAGCGCAUGUGCUGUGAGCUCGAUGAGUAGGGCGGGACACGUGGUAUCCUGUCUGAAUAUGGGGGGACCAUCCUCCAAGGCUAAAUACUCCUGACUGACCGAUAGUGAACCAGUACCGUGAGGGAAAGGCGAAAAGAACCCCGGCGAGGGGAGUGAAAAAGAACCUGAAACCGUGUACGUACAAGCAGUGGGAGCACAGGUUUACCUGUGUGACUGCGUACCUUUUGUAUAAUGGGUCAGCGACUUAUAUUCUGUAGCAAGGUUAACCGUAUAGGGGAGCCGGAGGGAAACCGAGUCUUAAUUGGGCGUUAAGUUGCAGGGUAUAGACCCGAAACCCGGUGAUCUAGCCAUGGGCAGGUUGAAGGUUGGGUAACACUAACUGGAGGACCGAACCGACUAAUGUUGAAAAAUUAGCGGAUGACCUGUGGCUGGGGGUGAAAGGCCAAUCAAACCGGGAGAUAGCUGGUUCUCCCCGAAAGCUAUUUAGGUAGCGCCUCGUGAACUCAUCUCCGGGGGUAGAGCACUGUUUCGGCUAGGGGGCCAUCCCGGCUUACCAACCCGAUGCAAACUGCGAAUACCGGAGAAUGUUAUCACGGGAGACACACGGCGGGUGCUAACGUCCGUCGUGAAGAGGGAAACAACCCAGACCGCCAGCUAAGGUCCCAAAGUCAUGGUUAAGUGGGAAACGAUGUGGGAAGGCCCAGACAGCCAGGAUGUUGGCUUAGAAGCAGCCAUCAUUUAAAGAAAGCGUAAUAGCUCACUGGUCGAGUCGGCCUGCGCGGAAGAUGUAACGGGGCUAAACUAUGCACCGAAGCUGCGGCAGCGACACUAUGUGUUGUUGGGUAGGGGAGCGUUCUGUAAGCCUGUGAAGGUGUGUCGUGAGGCAUGCUGGAGGUAUCAGAAGUGCGAAUGCUGACAUAAGUAACGAUAAAGCGGGUGAAAAGCCCGCUCGCCGGAAGACCAAGGGUUCCUGUCCAACGUUAAUCGGGGCAGGGUGAGUCGACCCCUAAGGCGAGGCCGAAAGGCGUAGUCGAUGGGAAACGGGUUAAUAUUCCCGUACUUGGUGUUACUGCGAAGGGGGGACGGAGAAGGCUAUGUUGGCCGGGCGACGGUUGUCCCGGUUUAAGCGUGUAGGUGUGUGUUCCAGGUAAAUCCGGUUCACUUUAACACUGAGGCGUGAUGACGAGGCACUACGGUGCUGAAGCAACAAAUGCCCUGCUUCCAGGAAAAGCCUCUAAGCAUCAGGUAACAUCAAAUCGUACCCCAAACCGACACAGGUGGUCAGGUAGAGAAUACCAAGGCGCUUGAGAGAACUCGGGUGAAGGAACUAGGCAAAAUGGUGCCGUAACUUCGGGAGAAGGCACGCUGACACGUAGGUGAAGUGAUUUACUCAUGGAGCUGAAGUCAGUCGAAGAUACCAGCUGGCUGCAACUGUUUAUUAAAAACACAGCACUGUGCAAACACGAAAGUGGACGUAUACGGUGUGACGCCUGCCCGGUGCCGGAAGGUUAAUUGAUGGGGUCAGCGCAAGCGAAGCUCCUGAUCGAAGCCCCGGUAAACGGCGGCCGUAACUAUAACGGUCCUAAGGUAGCGAAAUUCCUUGUCGGGUAAGUUCCGACCUGCACGAAUGGCGUAAUGAUGGCCAGGCUGUCUCCACCCGAGACUCAGUGAAAUUGAACUCGCUGUGAAGAUGCAGUGUACCCGCGGCAAGACGGAAAGACCCCGUGAACCUUUACUAUAGCUUGACACUGAACAUUGAGCCUUGAUGUGUAGGAUAGGUGGGAGGCUUUGAAGUGUGGACGCCAGUCUGCAUGGAGCCGACCUUGAAAUACCACCCUUUAAUGUUUGAUGUUCUAACGUGGACCCGUAAUCCGGGUUGCGGACAGUGUCUGGUGGGUAGUUUGACUGGGGCGGUCUCCUCCUAAAGAGUAACGGAGGAGCACGAAGGUUGGCUAAUCCUGGUCGGACAUCAGGAGGUUAGUGCAAUGGCAUAAGCCAGCUUGACUGCGAGCGUGACGGCGCGAGCAGGUGCGAAAGCAGGUCAUAGUGAUCCGGUGGUUCUGAAUGGAAGGGCCAUCGCUCAACGGAUAAAAGGUACUCCGGGGAUAACAGGCUGAUACCGCCCAAGAGUUCAUAUCGACGGCGGUGUUUGGCACCUCGAUGUCGGCUCAUCACAUCCUGGGGCUGAAGUAGGUCCCAAGGGUAUGGCUGUUCGCCAUUUAAAGUGGUACGCGAGCUGGGUUUAGAACGUCGUGAGACAGUUCGGUCCCUAUCUGCCGUGGGCGCUGGAGAACUGAGGGGGGCUGCUCCUAGUACGAGAGGACCGGAGUGGACGCAUCACUGGUGUUCGGGUUGUCAUGCCAAUGGCACUGCCCGGUAGCUAAAUGCGGAAGAGAUAAGUGCUGAAAGCAUCUAAGCACGAAACUUGCCCCGAGAUGAGUUCUCCCUGAGACUUAGAGUCUCCUGAAGGAACGUUGAAGACGACGACGUUGAUAGGCCGGGUGUGUAAGCGCAGCGAUGCGUUGAGCUAACCGGUACUAAUGAACCGUGAGGCUUAACCUU
rnacentral:rRNA from 1 species